rnacentral:tRNA from 1 species
AUUUAAAUAGCUUAUAUUUAGAGCGUAAUAUUGAAGAUAUUAAAGAGAUUAUUAAAAUCUUUAAAUA